UACAGAGGGGGCAAGCGUUAUUCGGAAUUAUUGGGCGUAAAGGGCGCGUAGGCGGCCUGGCAAGUGGAAGGUGAAAUCCCUCGGCUUAACCGAGGAACUGCCUCCCAAACUGCUUGGCUUGAGACCGGGAGAGGUGAGUGGAAUUCCCAGUGUAGCGGUGAAAUGCGUAGAUAUUGGGAGGAACACCAGUGGCGAAGGCGGCUCACUGGACCGGUACUGACGCUGAUGCGCGAAAGCGUGGGGAGCAACA
rnacentral:rRNA from 1 species